CUAAAGGACACGACUCAGUGGAAUUUCAGAUUCAUGCAGCUAAAACCUGGAACCUCUUCCUGAAGAUGUGAGACAGGCUUCUACUUUGACGCUGUUUAAAUCCAGGCUCAAAAAGUUCUGUUUUGCUGCAUAUGACUGAAAGAAGAUGUGCGGCUGACGGUGACUCUAUCCUGUGCAUGGAGAUGGUUCAUGUGAAACUUUUCAGAGAUUUUAAGUCUGCAGGUCGUAGCAUAGACUGUAUAGUGGUGCGGCUUCGUAUCUUACCAAAGUCGUACUAAAACAUUUUGGUAAUAUGGUAAUACGAUAUACCCUGGUAAAAUCCUGACAAGGUUUAACGGCAUCAGAAUUGGAUGCUGCCCAACCCUAAUACAUAUUCUGAGUGUUUUCAGUCUCUCAGACUGUUCUCAAACAGUUCCACCUUGUGAUGUCAUCUGGUAAUACAGGAAGUGCUCCACUGUGUUUUUAAACUGUGUUUUGAGCUUUGGAAAUGUACAUACACUAAUAAUAAAGCGUUAUUCAAACAUGUGUGAAUGAAACAAAACACAA